GCCGACGUGGUGGAAUUGGUAGACACGCUAUCUUGAGGUGGUAGUGGCGAAUGCUGUGCCGGUUCGAGUCCGGCCGUCGGCA
rnacentral:tRNA from 1 species